UGAAUACGAGACGCUAAGGCGUCGAAGUAGUGUAUGUCAUACUUCCAAGAAAAGCUUGCACUGUCAUAAGUAAAAAAUGCCUGUACCAUAACCGACACAGGUGGGUAGGUAGAGUAUACUAAGGGGCGCGAGAUAACUCUCUCUAAGGAACUCGGCAAAAUAACUCCGUAACUUCGGGAGAAGGAGUACCUUAUUCUAUAAGGUUGCAAUAACAAGAUCCAAGCAACUGUUUAUCAAAAACACAGGUCUCCGCUAAGUCGUAAGACGAUGUAUGGGGGCUGACGCCUGCCCAGUGCCAGAAGGUUAAAGAAGUCGGUUAGCAUUAGCGAAGCUGGUAACUGAAGCCCUGGUGAACGGCGGCCGUAACAAUAACGGUCCUAAGGUAGCGAAAUUCCUUGUCGGGUAAAUUCCGACCCGCACGAAAGGCGUAAUGAUUUGGAUACUGUCUCGGAGAGGGGCUCGGUGAAAUAGACUUGUCUGUGAAGAUGCGGACUACCUGCACCAGGACAGAAAGACCCUAUGAAGCUUUACUGUAACUUGAAAUUGAAAUUGGACUUUAUUCGCGCAGUAUAGGUGGGAGGUGUUGAUUAUAAUCUUGCGGGAUUAUUGGAGCCAUCAGUGAGAUACCACUCUUGUAAUGUUAGAUUUCUAACUUUGAAUCAUUAUCUGGUCAAAGGACAGUUUCAGGCGGGCAGUUUGACUGGGGCGGUCCUCCCAAACGGUAACGGAGGCGUACAAAGGUUUCCUCUGAACGGGUAGAAAUCGUAUCUAGAGUGUAAAGGCAUAAGGAAGCUUGACUGUGAGACCUACAAGUCGAACAGGGACGAAAGUCGGUCUUAGUGAUCUGACGGUACUGAGUGGAAAGGCCGUCACUCAACGGAUAAAAGUUACUCUAAGGAUAACAGGCUGAUCUCCCCCAAGAGUUCACAUCGACGGGGAGGUUUGGCACCUCGAUGUCGGCUCGUCGCAUCCUGGGGCGGUAGUACGUCCCAAGGGUUGGGCUGUUCGCCCAUGAAAGCGGUACGCGAGCUGGGUUCGGAACGUCGUGAGACAGUUCGGUCCAUAUCCGGUGUAGGCGUUAGAAUAUUGAGAGGAGCCUUCUUUAGUACGAGAGGACCGAGAAGGACAUACCUCUGGUGUACCAGUUAUCGUGCCAACGGUAAACGCCGGGUAGCUCUGUAUGGAGUGGAUAACCGCUGAAAGCAUCUAAGUGGGAAGCCCACCUCAAGAUAAGUA
rnacentral:rRNA from 1 species